rnacentral:tRNA from 1 species
GAACAAUGGCUUAGUGGUGGAGCUAUAUGCUUGGCAUGCAGAAGGUCUGAGGUUCAAUCCCCGGCAUCUCCA